GACUCGCAGGAAUCAUCAUCAUCAGAGGAGGAAAACGAUCAAAAUGAGGAGGAGCAGAAAAAUGAAGAGAACAGUUCCAAAGAGCAAGAAAAUACAGCUCCAACCAACAAACGCCCUGCAGAGCCGUUAGAUCCACCACCUGCAAAGAAAUCCAAACUUGGAAAAAAGGCGAGAGCUGGCAAAGUGUAAAAAACUACUUAUCUUUUUUAGCAGACAUUGUUAAUAGUAAGAUUUGUUAAGGUUUAUUUGUUAGGUAGAUAGGUGCCAAAUAUUUUACACAUAUGAUAUGUAUCUGUAUAAAUAUUUACAAUUAAAUACUUUUAAAU